ACGCUAUGAUGAGAUGAAGCAUUUCCUGACUUGGUAUUGUCACCCCAGGGUGUCACUGAUCAAGGUGUGAUUGGUUGUAAUCUUCUCUCUGAGCUG